rnacentral:misc_RNA from 1 species
GUGGGUGACUUGGAGACGAGGCUGGCUAAAAUCGAGCUUCACUUGGUCAAUGAGGAGCUGAGGUUUGAAGAGAUGGAUAACCGGUUGUUGGAGCUUGCUGAAGGGUUGGAUGACACCCGUGUGGAGAUGCAGGCUGCCCUCAACGAAGCUCUUGGAAAGUUGGCAAGUGAAAACGAGGUUUUGAAGAUAGCUCACGCUGAAGAGGUGUCCACAUUGAGAGAAGAAAACCGUGCGCUCAAAGAAGAGGUGGAAAGGGUGAAUGGAGAAGUGAGAGAUGUGAAGGACGAACUUGUGCUGUUAAAGAGGUUGGUGGCUCAAAACGUUGGGACCAACCCUGCUCUCACCAUCCCUACGGCGAGGGUGGAUGUACCCAAACCAGGCGCUUAUCUUGGUGCAAGGAGUGCUAGGGACAUUGACAACUUUUUGUGGUCACUGGAGCAAUAUUUU